UUUAUUUUUUAUUCUUUCUUCUGAAAAGUCUUCCUCUUUCUCUCUUCUCCCUCACUCUCCCUUAUCACUCCCUCUCGCCGUUCUCUAUCUCAGCCCCUCCGAGGGUUUUUCUUACCAACAAUCAACACCACAAUAACAUCAACAUCUCCAUUAGCACCUUAGUGAGCUUAGAAUCGAAGAAAGAACACCUAAACCCUCAUCUUCCAUUCGGCCGGUACUGUUCAUCAUCUUUCCUGAUGAGUUUCGUCAUUUUCCAACAUUGGAGCAAUUAUUGUGGCGUUCUGUCUCCGCUAGUUUGCGUGGCUCUUCGGCGGCUAAGUAUUUGACUUAGAAUCGAAGCAUACAAUUCCGACGUCAAGGCACUUCCGCAUCGGAAUCUUCAAGUCUUCUCGGUGUAGGAUUCAUCAUUUGUUUCAUUAAAUUUUAUAUUAUUCUUUUAAUGUUCUAGUUAGUUGUAUGCUCUAAACACGUUCCUUAAAUGCACAUUCUUUAUUCUCUAUCUA